CCGACUGCUAUCAGAGUGGGACUAAGCCAUGCGAGUCGACAUAGCAAUAUGUGGCAUACGGCUCAGUAACACGUAGUCAACAUGCCCAGGGGACGUGGAUAACCUCGGGAAACUGAGGAUAAACCGCGAUAGGUCAUCACUUCUGGAAUGGGUAAUGACUUAAACCUAUAUGGCCCCUGGAUUGGACUGCGGCCGAUCAGGCUGUUGGUGAGGUAAUGGCCCACCAAACCUGUAACCGGUACGGGCUCUGAGAGGAGGAGCCCGGAGAUGGGCACUGAGACAAGGGCCCAGGCCCUAUGGGGCGCAGCAGGCGCGAAACCUCUGCAAUAGGCGAAAGCUUGACAGGGUUACUCUGAGUGAUUUCCGUUAAGGAGAUCUUUUGGCACCUCUAAAAAUGGUGUAGAAUAAGGGGUGGGCAAGUCUGGUGUCAGCCGCCGCGGUAAUACCAGCACCCCGAGUGGUCGGGACGUUUAUUGGGCCUAAAGCAUCCGUAGCCGGUUCUACAAGUCUUCCGUUAAAUCCACCUGCUUAACAGAUGGGCUGCGGAAGAUACUAUAGAGCUAGGAGGCGGGAGAGGCAAGCGGUACUCGAUGGGUAGGGGUAAAAUCCGUUGAUCCAUUGAAGACCACCAGUGGCGAAGGCGGCUUGCCAGAACGCGCUCGACGGUGAGGGAUGAAAGCUGAGGGAGCAAACCGGAUUAGAUACCCGGGUAGUCCCAGCUGUAAACGAUGCAGACUCGGUGAUGAAUUGGCUUAUUGCUAAUUCAGUGCCGCAGGGAAGCCGUUAAGUUUGCCGCCUGGGGAGUACGGUCGCAAGACUGAAACUUAAAGGAAUUGGCGGGGGAGCACCACAAGGGGUGAAGCCUGCGGUUCAAUUGGAGUCAACGCCGGAAAUCUUACCGGGGGCGACAGCAGAGUGAAGGUCAAGCUGAAGACUUUACCAGACAAGCUGAGAGGAGGUGCAUGGCCGUCGCCAGCUCGUGCCGUGAGGUGUCCUGUUAAGUCAGGUAACGAGCGAGAUCCCUGCCUCUAGUUGCUACCAUUAUUCUCAGGAGUAGUGGAGCUAAUUAGAGGGACCGCCGUCGCUGAGACGGAGGAAGGUGGGGGCUACGGCAGGUCAGUAUGCCCCGAAACCCUCGGGCCACACGCGGGCUGCAAUGGUAAGGACAAUGAGUUUCGAUUCCGAAAGGAGGAGGCAAUCUCUAAACCUUACCACAGUUAUGAUUGAGGGCUGAAACUCGCCCUCAUGAAUAUGGAAUCCCUAGUAACCGCGUGUCACUAUCGCGCGGUGAAUACGUCCCUGCUCCUUGCACUCACCGCCC
rnacentral:rRNA from 1 species